GACGAACGCUGGCGGCGUGCUUAACACAUGCAAGUCGAGCGGUAAGGCCCUUUCGGGGGUACACGAGCGGCGAACGGGUGAGUAACACGUGGGUGACCUGCCCUUAGCUCUGGGAUAAGCCUGGGAAACUGGGUCUAAUACCGGAUAUGACUCCAUGACGCAUGUUGUGGGGUGGAAAGCCUUGUGCGGCUAGGGAUGGGCCCGCGGCCUAUCAGCUUGUUGGUGGGGUGANGGCCUACCAAGGCGACGACGGGUAGCCGGCCUGAGAGGGCGACCGGCCACACUGGGACUGAGACACGGCCCAGACUCCUACGGGAGGCAGCAGUGGGGAAUCUUGCGCAAUGGGCGAAAGCCUGACGCAGCGACGCCGCGUGAGGGAUGAC
rnacentral:rRNA from 1 species